CAGUAGCCACGGUAAUGCGAGGGGGGCAAGCGUUACCCGGAUUUACUGGGCGUAAAGGGCGUGUAGGCGGCCUGGGGCGUCCCAUGUGAAAGGCCACGGCUCAACCGUGGAGGAGCGUGGGAUACGCUCAGGCUAGAGGGUGGGAGAGGGUGGUGGAAUUCCCGGAGUAGCGGUGAAAUGCGCAGAUACCGGGAGGAACGCCGAUGGCGAAGGCAGCCACCUGGUCCACUUCUGACGCUGAGGCGCGAAAGCGUGGGGAGCAAACCGGAUUAGAUACCCCCGUAGUCCCUGUCUCUUAUAC
rnacentral:rRNA from 1 species